UGUUCAUGGUGUUCUUUGGGGCCCCCUCACUUUCCUGUUGGAGGGACUGCGUGAAGACCCCAUACCACUGUGUCUGGCUCCCACUCUACCUGCUCCAGCUGCAAGGUAGGCACUCACUGGCACCUUUUGUUGCAGACACCAAGAAGACGAGAAAGAAGCCAAGACAGAAGAAACCAGAACCCAACCUCUUGUGGGACCGGUUGACCUCCCCAUGCCUGCCACCAACCCUGCUGCCACCUCUGCCGCUACCACCACCAUGGUCUCCGUGGUGACCUCAUCACCCCCUGGCACCUGGGGCUGCCUUGCUUGCCUAAAGCCAACAUUGAAUAAUAUUCCAUUGCCUGGAUAUGCCACAUUUUAUCAUUCGCCCAAUGAAGGAUAUCCUGGUUGCCUCCAAGUUUUGCAAUUAUGAAUAAAGC
rnacentral:lncRNA from 10 species